rnacentral:rRNA from 1 species
AUUGAACGCUAGCGGGAUGCUUUACACAUGCAAGUCGAACGGCAGCGCGGACUUCGGUCUGGCGGCGAGUGGCGAACGGGUGAGUAAUGUAUCGGAACGUGCCCAGUAGCGGGGGAUAACUACGCGAAAGCGUAGCUAAUACCGCAUACGCCCUACGGGGGAAAGCAGGGGAUCGUAAGACCUUGCACUAUUGGAGCGGCCGAUAUCGGAUUAGUUAGUUGGUGAGGUAACGGCUCACCAAGGCGACGAUCCGUAGCUGGUUUGAGAGGACGACCAGCCACACUGGGACUGAGACACGGCCCAGACUCCUACGGGAGGCAGCAGUGGGGAAUUUUGGACAAUGGGGGCAACCCUGAUCCAGCCAUCCCGCGUGUGCGAUGAAGGCCUUCGGGUUGUAAAGCACUUUUGGCAGGAAAGAAACGUCGCGGGCUAAUACCCCGUGGAACUGACGGUACCUGCAGAAUAAGCACCGGCUAACUACGU